UGUGAUCCAUAUCAGAUGAAAUCUGAAAUUAAAAGUAAAAUUAACUUUAUUAGUGAAAAGUAAAGAGAGAUCGAAGUGCCUGAUGAAUGAGGGCUAAAUAAAUAUUUAGUGGGACUCUCUAUGAGUUACUA
ensembl:ncRNA C08B11.12 ncRNA